GAUGCCAAAUCAGGGAGUCAUCCACUAAACAGCUGAAAGAUCAAAGUUUAGAAAAACUCCUUUCUUAAUUUUGCUCUUUCACAUGUUUAAUAGAUGACUUUCUAUUUUGCUAUC